GUAGGAAAGUACUACUUGUUGAUGUAAGAAUGUCCGCUAGAUGGCUCUGUUAUGGGUUUAUAAGGAAAGGCGGGAGUUCGAAGUGCAUUCUCAGUUGCGGUGCGCUCGAGUCUAGUAUUAACCUGUGGUCGGUUUAUGGUAUGUUUUUUAUCAUCUGAAUGAAAUGUGUUCAUUUGUGUUCAGUGAUUUUGCUUUCACUGUUUGAUGUUGUGUACAGGCAUAUUGUACGUGUCAACGAGCCAUGUUAAUACGUGUGAGAAUGUGUAUAUUGUAUGUGCUGACGAGCCAUGAUAAUACGUGUGAAUAAAACGUCGAGCAUUUGUAUAAGGUGUGAGCUGAUAAUACGUGAUCCUGUUUGUAUAUCACACGAAUGACAGUGUCAUAAGUUGUAUAUAUUACAAUGAUCAUUAUGAUAUGUUGAUUGAGUUUGUAUGAUGUAGAGUUAAUGUUGAUGGCAAUGAUGAUGAUGAUGAUGAUGAUGGAGUUUAGUGGAAAUAAACAAGAGUGCACCGCACAUGACAUACCA